CUACGGGGUGCUCCAGUGGGGAAUAUUGGACAAUGGGGGCAACCCUGAUCCAGCCAUCCCGCGUGAGUGAUGAAGGCUCUCGGGUCGUAAAGCUCUGUGGGGAGAGACGAAACCUGAAGGGAACAAUACCCCUUCAGCUGACGGUAUCUCCUUAGCAAGCACCGGCUAACUCCGUGCCAGCAGCCGCGGUAAUACGGAGGGUGCAAACGUUGCUCGGAAUCAUUGGGCGUAAAGCGCGCGUAGGCGGCCUGACAAGUCGGAUGUGAAAGCCCUCGGCUUAACCGGGGAAGUGCAUCGGAACUGUCAGGCUUGAGUAUGGGAGAGGAUUGCGGAAUUCCCGGUGUAGAGGUGAAAUUCGUAGAUAUCGGGAGGAACACCAGUGGCGAAGGCGGCAAUCUGGACCAAUACUGACGCUGAGGUGCGAAAGCGUGGGGAGCAAACAGGAUUAGAUACCCCCGUAGUC
rnacentral:rRNA from 1 species